GACGAACGCUGGCGGCGUGCCUAACACAUGCAAGUCGAACGAAACCUUCGGGUUUGGUUGCUCACGUGAACGUCACGCGGGGUGACUGGCCGUUGGGUGCGUAAUGAGUGAGUGACAUUUGAGCUAAUACCGGAUAAUAGCUUCGAACCAAAGAUAUAACGGCAUUAGAUGGGCGCGCGUUGGAUUAGCUAGUUGGUGGGGUAAAGGCCUACCAAGGCGACGAUCCAUAGCUGGUCUGAGAGGAUGAUCAGCCACACUGGGACUGAGACACGGCCCAGACUCCUACGGGAGGCAGCAGUGGGGAAUAUUGGACAAUGGGCGAAAGCCUGAUCCAGCAACGCCGCGUGAGUGAUGAAGGCCUUAGGGAUGUAAAGCUCUUUUAGCAGAGAUGAUAAUGACGGUAUCGGGAGAAUAAGCACCGGCUAACUACGUG
rnacentral:rRNA from 1 species